rfam:Macrostomum lignano uti_cns_0008255, whole genome shotgun sequence.
GGCCGAGUAGCUCAGUUGGUUAGAGCGUCGUGCUGAUAACGCGAAGGUCGAGGGUUCGAGCCCCUCCCCGGCCA